rnacentral:misc_RNA from 1 species
AUCCAGCGAACUAUCAAUUAGACUUAUUGCCCCGCGCGUCACAUUGUACUUGGACUCUUUAAACAGAAAUCCGCCCUGAAAUUCAAUUACAGAGAUCGAUAAUGGCUGAGCAACCCACGACGAUAGAGCACAAGGCAUACGCCCGUGUUGGUCUUUUGGGCAACCCAAGCGACGUUUAUUAUGGCCGUACCAUCUCUUUCAGCCUCGGCAACUUUUGUGCCAUCGUUCAAUUGCAGCCCUCCGAUGAUCUCGUCAUCAAGCCCCAUCCUAAACACGAUCUUGUCCAAUUCUCUUCCCUCGAUCACUUGGUGAAUCGGUUGCAAAGUGAAGGCUACUAUGGAGGAGUGCGAUUGCUGAUGGCGAUUUGUAGGGUUUUCUAUAAGCAUUGUAAAGAGAACCAGAUUGAUCUUCAUAGCGGGAAUUUCACUCUUUCUUAUGAUACUAACAUUCCUCGCCAGACAGGGCUUUCAGGUUCUAGUGCUAUUGUAACUGCGGCCUUGAACUGCCUUCUCGAUUUCUACAAAGUCCGGCAUUUGAUCAAAGUUGAAGUCAGACCUAAUCUUGUUCUCAAUGCUGAGAAAGAACUUGGAAUUGUUGCUGGCCUUCAAGAUAGAGUGGCACAGGUCUAUGGAGGCCUUGUUAAUAUGGAUUUUUCUAAGGAAAAUAUGGAUAAGUUGGGGCAUGGCAUCUACACACCCAUGGAUAUUAGUCUACUUCCACCUCUCCAUCUCAUCUAUGCUGAGAAUCCAAGUGAUUCUGGGAAGGUACAUAGUACAGUUCGGCAAAGGUGGCUAAAUGGUGACAAAUUUAUUAUAUCAUCCAUGGCAGAAGUUGCAGAUAUAGCGUUAGAAGGACGAACUGCAAUUCUUGACAAAGAUUAUGCCAAACUUGCAGGCCUGAUGAAUCGUAAUUUUGAUCUUCGAAGGAGCAUGUUUGGGGAUGAUGUUAUUGGUGCUUUAAACAUAGAAAUGGUAGAGGUGGCCCGAAGGGUAGGAGCUGCUUCAAAAUUUACAGGUAGUGGCGGGGCUGUUGUCGUGUACUGCCCUGAGGGGCCUUCUCAAGUAAAGCUUCUAGAGGACGCUUGUCAGAAAGCUGGUUUUGUCAUUCAAACUGUGCAAGUUAUUCCUCCACUUCUUAACGAAGAUGAUCUCAAGACCCUGUUAUAACGG